rnacentral:rRNA from 1 species
UGGGGAAUAUUGCACAAUGGGCGCAAGCCUGAUGCAGCCAUGCCGCGUGUGUGAAGAAGGCCUUCGGGUUGUAAAGCACUUUCAGCGAGGAGGAAGGUGGUGAGCUUAAUACGCUCAUCAAUUGACGUUACUCGCAGAAGAAGCACCGGCUAACUCCGUGCCAGCAGCCGCGGUAAUACGGAGGGUGCAAGCGUUAAUCGGAAUUACUGGGCGUAAAGCGCACGCAGGCGGUUUGUUAAGUCAGAUGUGAAAUCCCCGGGCUCAACCUGGGAACUGCAUUUGAAACUGGCAAGCUAGAGUCUCGUAGAGGGGGGUAGAAUUCCAGGUGUAGCGGUGAAAUGCGUAGAGAUCUGGAGGAAUACCGGUGGCGAAGGCGGCCCCCUGGACGAAGACUGACGCUCAGGUGCGAAAGCGUGGGGCAGCAAACAGGAUUAGAUACCCUGGUAGUCCACGCUGUAAACGAUGUCGAUUUUGGAGGUUGUGCCCUUGAGGCGUGGCUUCCGGAGCUAACGCGUUAAAUCGACCGCCUGGGGAGUACGGCCGCAAGGUUAAAACUCAAAGGAAUUG